GGAACUGAGACACGGUCCAGACACCUACGGGUGGCAGCAGUCGAGAAUCAUUCACAAUGGGGGCAACCCUGAUGGUGCGACGCCGCGUGGGGGAAUGAAGGUCUUCGGAUUGUAAACCCCUGUCAUGUGGGAGCAAAUUAAAAAGAUAGUACCACAAGAGGAAGAGACGGCUAACUCUGUGCCAGCAGCCGCGGUAAUACAGAGGUCUCAAGCGUUGUUCGGAAUCACUGGGCGUAAAGCGUGCGUAGGCUGUUUCGUAAGUCGUGUGUGAAAGGCAGGGGCUCAACCCCUGGAUUGCACAUGAUACUGCGAGACUAGAGUAAUGGAGGGGGAACCGGAAUUCUCGGUGUAGCAGUGAAAUGCGUAGAUAUCGAGAGGAACACUCGUGGCGAAGGCGGGUUCCUGGACAUUAACUGACGCUGAGGCACGAAGGCCAGGGGAGCGAAAGGGAUUAGAUACCCCUGUAGUCCUGGCAGUAAACGGUGCACGCUUGGUGUGCGGGGAAUCGACCCCCUGCGUGCCGGAGCUAACGCGUUAAGCGUGCCGCCUGGGGAGUACGGUCGCAAGAUUAAAACUCAAAGAAAUUGACGGGGACCCGCACAAGCGGUGGAGUAUGUGGCUUAAUUCGAUGCAACGCGAAGAACCUUACCUGGGCUUGACAUGUAAUGAACAACAUGUGAAAGCAUGCGACUCUUCGGAGGCGUUACACAGGUGCUGCAUGGCCGUCGUCAGCUCGUGUCGUGAGAUGUUUGGUUAAGUCCAGCAACGAGCGCAACCCCUGUUGCCAGUUACCAGCACGUCAAGGUGGGGACUCUGGCGAGACUGCCCAGAUCAACUGGGAGGAAGGUGGGGACGACGUCAGGUCAGUAUGGCCCUUAUGCCCAGGGCUGCACACGUACUACAAUGCCCAGUACAGAGGGGGCCGAAGCCGCGAGGCGGAGGAAAUCCUGAAAACUGGGCCCAGUUCGGACUGUAGGCUGCAACCCGCCUACACGAAGCCGGAAUCGCUAGUAAUGGCGCAUCAGCUACGGCGCCGUGAAUACGUUCCCGGGUCUUGUACACACCGCCCGUCACAUCAUGGAAGCCGGUCGCACCCGAAGUAUCUGAAGCCAACCGCAAGGAGGCAGGGUCCUAAGGUGAGACUGGUAACUGGGAUGAAGUCGUAACAAGGUAGCCGUAGGGGAACCUGCGGCUG
rnacentral:rRNA from 1 species